rnacentral:rRNA from 1 species
AGCAGUCGCCACGGUAAUACGUAGGUGGCAAGCGUUGUCCGGAAUUAUUGGGCGUAAAGGGCUCGCAGGCGGUUUCUUAAGUCUGAUGUGAAAGCCACCGGCUCAACCGGGGAGGGUCAUUGGAAACUGGGAAACUUGAGUGCAGAAGAGGAGAGUGGAAUUCCACGUGUAGCGGUGAAAUGCGUAGAGAUGUGGAGGAACACCAGUGGCGAAGGCGACUCUCUGGUCUGUAACUGACGCUGAGGAGCGAAAGCGUGGGGAGCGAACAGGAUUAGAUACCCCGGUAGUCCCUGUUUCUUAUAC